rnacentral:rRNA from 1 species
AGAGUUUGAUCCUGGCUCAGAAUCAACGCUGGCGGCGCGCCUAACACAUGCAAGUCGCACGAGAAAGCGGGGGCAACCUCGUAAGUAAAGUGGCGCACGGGUGAGUAACACGUGGAUCAUCUACCUCUUUGUGGGGGAUAACCCUGGGAAACCGGGGCUAAUACCGCAUAAGCUCGAGAGAGGAAAGCAGCAAUGCGCAGAGAGAGGAGUCCGCGGCCGAUUAGCUUGUUGGUAGGGUAACGGCCUACCAAGGCUACGAUCGGUAGCCGGCCUGAGAGGGCACACGGCCACACUGGCACUGAAACACGGGCCAGACUCCUACGGGAGGCAGCAGUGGGGAAUCUUGCACAAUGGGGGAAACCCUGAUGCAGCGACGCCGCGUGAGCGAUGAAGCCCUUCGGGGUGUAAAGCUCUUUCGGCAGGGAAGAUGAUGACGGUACCUGCAGAAGCAGCUGCGGCUAACUACGUGCCAGCAGCCGCGGUAAUACGUAGGCAGCAAGCGUUGUUCGGAGUUACUGGGCGUAAAGGGUGUGCAGGCGGUUCCCUAAGU